GCUCUAAGUUCUUUCGGUCCGUUUUUAUGAUCCCCGACUUUCCGUAUUAGCUCUAAGUUCUUUCGGUCGGUUUUUAUGAUCCCCGACUUUCCGUAUUAGCUCUAAGUUCUUUCGGUCGGUUUUUAUGAUCUCGACUUUGCGUAUUAGCUCUAAGUUCUUUCGGUCGGUUUUUAUGAUCACUGACUUUGCGUAUUAGCUCUAAGUUCUUUCGGUCCGUUUUUAUGAUCCCCGACUUUGCGUAUUAGCUCAAAGUUCUUUCGGUUGUUUUAAUGAUCCAUGACUUUACGUAUUAGCUCUAAGUUCUUUCGAUCCGUUUUUAUGAUCCCCGACUUUGCGUAUUAGCUCUAAGUUCUUUCGGUCGUUUUUUGAUACCCGAGUUUGCGUAUUAGCUCUAAGUUCUUUCGAUCGGUUUUUAUGAUCCCCGACUUUGCGUAUUAGCUCUAAAUUCUAUCGGUCGUUUUUAUGAUCCCCGACUUUACGUAUUAGCUCUAAGUUCUUUCGGUCCGUUUUUAUGAUCCCCGACUUUGCGUAUUAGCUCUAAGUUCUAUUGGUCCGUUUUUAUGAUCCCCGACUUUGCGUAUUAGCUCUAAGUUCUUUCGGUCGUUUUUAUAAUCCCCGACUUUGCGUAUUAGCUCUAAGUUCUUUCGGUCUGUUUUUAUGAUCCCGACUUUACGUAUUACCUCUAAGUUCUAUCAGUCCAUUUUUAUGAUCCCCGACUUUGCGUAUAAGCUCUAAGUUCUUUCGGUCGUUUUUAUAAUCCCCGACUUUGCGUAUUAGCUCUAAGUUCUUUCGGUCCGUUUUUAUGAUCCCCGACUUUGCGUAUUAGCUCUAUGUUCUUUCGGUCGGUUUUAUGAUCCCGGACUUUGCGUAUUAGCUCUAAGUUCUUUUGGUCGUUUUUAUUAUCCCCGACUUUGCGUAUUAGCUCUAACUUCUUUUGGUCGUUUUUAUGAUCCCCGACUUUGCGUAUUAGCUCUAAGUUCUUUUGGUCGGUUUUAUGAUACCUGACUUCGCGUAUUAGCUCUAAGUUCUUUCGGUCCGUUUU
rnacentral:lncRNA from 1 species